GAUGAACGCUGGCGGCGUGCCUAAUACAUGCAAGUCGAACGAAACUUCUUUAUCACCGAGUGCUUGCACUCACCGAUAAAGAGUUGAGUGGCGAACGGGUGAGUAACACGUGGGCAACCUGCCCAAAAGAGGGGGAUAACACUUGGAAACAGGUGCUAAUACCGCAUAACCAUAGUUACCGCAUGGUAACUAUGUAAAAGGUGGCUAUACUACCGCCUUUGGAUGGGCCCGCGGCGCAUUAGCUAGUUGGUAGGGUAAAGGCUUACCAAGGCAAUGAUGCGUAGCCGAAUUGAGAGGUUGAUCGGCCACAUUGGGACUGAGACACGGCCCAAACUCCUACGGGAGGCAGCAGUAGGGAAUCUUCCACAAUGGGCGAAAGCCUGAUGGAGCAACGCCGCGUGGGUGAAGAAGGUCUUCGGAUCGUAAAACCCUGUUGUUAGAGAAGAAAGUGCGUGAGAGUAACUGUUCACGUUUCGACGGUAUCUAACCAGAAAGCCACGGCUAACCACGUG
rnacentral:rRNA from 1 species